rnacentral:rRNA from 1 species
GACGAACGCUGGCGGCGUGCUUAACACAUGCAAGUCGAACGGAAAGGCCUGCUUUCCCUUGUGGAUUGCGGGUACUCGAGUGGCGAACGGGUGAGUAACACGUGAGUGAUCUGCCCCCAACUUGGGUAUAAGCCUGGGAAACUGGGUCUAAUUCCCGAUAGGACUGCAGGGUGGUGCCGGUGGUGGAAAACGAUUUUCUAGUGGUUGGGGAUGAGCUCGCGGCCUAUCAGCUUGUUGGUGGGGUAAUGGCCGACCAAGGCGGCGACGGGUAGCCGGCCUGGGAGGGUGGACGGCCGCAUUGGGACUGCGAUACGGCCCAGACUCCUACGGGAGGCAGCAUUGGGGAAUAUGGCACAAUGGGCGGAAGCCUGAUGCAGCGACGCCGCGUGGGGGAUGACGGGCUUCGGGUUGUAAACUCCUUUCGACCGCGAGGAAGCCACCUGGUUGGAAGGGUGGUGACGGUAGUGGUAGAAGAAGCACCGGCUAACUACGUG